rnacentral:lncRNA from 1 species
UAAUGUUAUAUGCUGUAAUUUCUUUUUGGUUUACUGUAUUGUUAGAUUGGUUAUAGAAAUGAUGUACGAGUAAACUGCAGAAUUGAUAGUCUUAUGACUGUGGAAAUGUGUUUCAUAUUGUUCAUAUAGCUACUUUGUGAUUUGAAUUAUAGUUAAAUACUGGAAAAAAAUGUUUUAACCUUAAGAAUUUAGUAACUAAGCUUAUGAUAUCUUCUGUGUAUAAUUAACUUACGGAAGUU